CAGUGCUGCCUGUCAGACAGUGGGGUGGACCCCUGUGCCUGUGCAGUGGGAGGAGAGGCUCCCUUUGGAGGGAGUCAGCUGGCAACUGUCUAAUUCUAGACCAUCCCUGUGAGCCUCCACCUCUUCUCUUGCUAAGGGGCUGGAAAGGGUGGCUGCCUGCCACUGUCCAGCUGCCUGAGACCCUCCGGACAGACCCUGCCAGCUCCUCCCCUGCAAAUUAGACAAUUCAGUUAAAAUUCCGUCAUAAAACGUUUACUGUUUCUGGUUCAUCUUCCUAAAAUAUCCUUCUCUUUGUAAUGCAAAUGGCACUAGGAAGGGUGACACCUUUAAUGUGCACCAAAAUGGGAGUAAUUUCUCAGAUUCCCUUUUCUCCCCAGAGACUCAGAGACGUGAAACCGUGGAAUGUGUCUCUGCAGAGAGGAAGCCAGAGUGAACCCAAGGGAGGGGGAUGGAGGAAAAGGCCAUCAUGGUGUUGGGGUUGGGGUGUGAUUCAAAUGAAACUGUAAGGUUGGGGAAGCUUGUCUUGCCAUCUGCCUAGUCCUUCAAGGGGAAUGAAAAAAAAAUAGCCCUAAUAAGUCAUUAACACUAUAGUCUGAAUUGUAAGUCAUAACACUAUAGUACGAAUGCCUCUACCAGGAGCAUUUACCUUUGAAAGAGCUUGACACUGGAUGGACAGAUCAAAGGAAUGCAUUUUUAGUAGCAAAAUGUUGGCGUCCUUGGUAUUUGGUCAGGGGAAAUAAUUGGGUCGACAGUCCUUCCAGUCAUUUAAAUAACGUACCAGUAAGUGACCCUGAGGCUCACAUAGGCUGCACUCAGUGCCUGGACUUACGUAGGAGCUCUGCCCCCAGAAGCUUGUGAUUUCAGACAGAAGGAAUAACCUGAACCCUGGGAAGAGGCAUGUCAGUACUAAGAUCUGGUUCCCCUUCUAGGCCCUGUGCAGAUUUCUACCUUUGAGCUAAGAUAGGAUGAGGCAUAAGAGUCCUGCAGGUGGGCCUCCUUUUUGAGGGCAAUGAAGGGGCAAAGAUGAAGUUG